rnacentral:rRNA from 1 species
UACGAAGGGGACUAGCGUUGCUCGGAAUCACUGGGCGUAAAGCGCACGUAGGCGGAUUGCUAAGUCAGGGGUGAAAUCCCGGAGCUCAACUCCGGAACUGCCUUUGAUACUGGCGAUCUUGAGUCCGGGAGAGGUGAGUGGAACUGCGAGUGUAGAGGUGAAAUUCGUAGAUAUUCGCAAGAACACCAGUGGCGAAGGCGGCUCACUGGCC